rnacentral:misc_RNA from 1 species
GUGAAUCAUCGAAUCUUUGAACGCAAAUUGCACUCCCUGGUAUUCCGGAGAGUAUGCCUGUUUGAGGGUCAGUUUAAAUAAAAAUCGGUGUGGUUGCUGCCUUUCGUGGUGACGCACCGGAUGUGGGUCGUCUUGCCUUCGGUUACGUGACCUAAAAUUUUUUAUGAUUUUUUCGAACGUAUUUAAAUUAUUUUACGUAAGUUUGCGAUGUCGAAUACUAGGUUCG